AAAUAACUUAAGUAACAGUAUUCUAGUUUAACAAAUAAAUACUUUACUUUAUUAGAAUAUCGUAAAGAAAAUGGAUAGCGGAACUAUAUUACAUAAAUACCUAGAAAGUUUACGUAAAGUAAUCGGCAAAUGGUAACGCAAAUUCAAUGUCAAAAGAUAACGUUUCUCUCGAGAAGUAAUUCUCUAAUACAACUUGUUAUGGAACUAACAUGCCAACAUUAUACGGAAAUAGUCUGGUUAUUUCUGGUUAUUUAAUCGCUUGGAAUUAGCGUGUGUCACUUGCCCAGGGUAAAGUCGUACUGAAGCCUUUUUGGCUUGCUCCAAUGUAUUUAUACUUUGGUAAACCAUUUACCAUUUACCAUUUAGGUAAAAUACCUAAAUUACCAAAACCGGAAUUGGUAAUUACCAAAAUAAUGUUCGGAACGAUUGGUAAACGUUUAUGUACUUCAUUUGACAUGAACAAUCGAGGGGAGUUCCGAAUAUAAAUUCAAAACAUGGACGUUAAGAAUAAUAAAAAGUUAACAAUGUUUACACAAAGUUGUACAAGAAAUAUAAAAUAAAAACAGUCAAUAAACGGUAAGGUUUUAACAACAUCAUCACACAAUUUUAGGGAAAACAAGUUCCAUUUCAAAGAACCCCCAUUUUGUUACACUCUCCCCACCUUUGAAAAAUAAUGUUUGCCCUCAAACAUGAAUAGCCAUUCCCUAAAAUUUAAAACAAGUUCUCCAAUAUUUUUCAUUAAAAUAUUCUAUAGCAUACAUAUUCAAAAUUAUAAAACAAUAUUUGAUCAAAUAUAAAUACAAUCUUCUGAGUGUACAUUGUUCAUUUUCAUCUUCCCGCAAAGUUUGAGGCUUCCGCACAGUUCUUUAUGAUCUUUUAAUUUUGUAAAUGUUCAUAUAGCACCAACAUUUCUUCUUCACAUGACGAUUGUUCAUAAAACACGAGUUCUGUUUAUUUUAACAAAUGUUUAUAGAACACAGACAUAUCUUCUUCACUUGACAAAUGUUCAUAAAACACCAACACAUCUUCUUCUCAUUACGAAAGUUCAUAAAAUACGAGUUCUGCUUAUUUUUAACAAAU
rnacentral:lncRNA from 1 species